AAUGUCAGGGGUGGGGACAGGGCUGGACAGAACUGAGAUACCAUGAACCAGCUUCGGAGCUAGAAGGGCGGAAAGAGGUCCCAAGAAUGACUUCAAGAAAGUAGUAAAGAACUCCAUUUUCCAAAGGGGCGUUGUUUGUCAUGGAUGCUUCAUCGUUUCGGGGCCUUACGAGCUUCCCUCUUGCUGUAUUUUUAAGCGGUGAUGGUGCUAAGACAGAGACAAGAAGGGAAGGAAGCAAAGAAUCUUGACAGAAGUAGGAUGUCCAUCAGGGAUCCUGGGACCUGUAACAAUUGAUUCCCUAUGGAAAAUAACGGCAAGGAGAUUUUCUGAGCUUGGGAGUUCCUCAAGACUUGCAGACUCAGAAGACUGAAUUCUCACCCCUGACACAGUCUCAGUCUUCUCAAGGCAAGAAAAAGAGAGAGCCUUCCUAUAGAAUUUCUGCUUGGAAUCCAACAAAGGGGUGUCAGUGGUCAGUAAGACAGACUUCAUGUGUCAGUGACUCCCCAGAAGGCCCCUGGACCCCAGGAUGGGAAAACUGGAGUUUGGGAAAGAAAAGAAAUUUAGGGAAUGAUUUCAGAACCUACCAAAGAAUGGACCCCAACUGCUGGGGUCAGAGCAGUGACUCCAAUGUGCCCCCUGAAAAACCUGGUUUUGCCUUUGUCAGAAGUCAGGAUUGGUGGGCAAGUGAAAUUACUUACAUCUGAUGGAGAAAUGAAAAGCUUCCCUCAAAUUCUUAAGAGAAAUUAGAGAGAGGGGACUAGAGGAAGAGACUCCUUUCUUCCUAAGAAAUCAUUCUCACAGAGGAGCAAAGAGGAAUCUGGAAAGAACUAUGACUAACAGUGGGUCAGGGAAAGAAAGUCAACACUAACCUCUCAAACAAAAAGGGCAGGAAAGAGGGGAGGGAAGAACAUGGUGAAGUGGAGACAACAGCCAUUAAAAAGAUAAGUAAGUCCGGUUGCAAUGUGGAAAUAGUGAGGGCUGCUGUGUGAAAGGAACACCUGGAAAAAAGGCAAAAAAGGGGGACGGGGGGCAGAGAAUGUCAGAAUCAGGAAGAAAGCAUGAUUAUUAAUUCAGAUCAAAAUUGACAGUUAUUUAAGAUAUUAGUCCUUUUAGGAAAAAAAUGUUGAAAAGACUGAGGAGAUAAGAAAUGGCCAUAGAUGUGAAGGAAGAACAUGUGGGAGAAGACGGAUCUUCACGUGACACUGAGGCACCCAAAGCCAUGUGCACAGGCUGAGAAUUCUGAAAGACCAGAUUUAUACCUCGAAUCUCACUACAUAGUAAGCUGGGCAAAAAAAAAAAAAAAGGCAUUUUGCAAAUUAAGCUGAAGAGAACACUCUCAGUGUAAAACUAAGGAAAAUGCCUCCAGAAGUCCAAACUUGAAAGGAAGGAAAUCUCUGCCAAUGUUCAAACUCUGAAGAAAGCAAAAAAUUCCUACAGAAGCCCAAGCUCUGAGGUGGACGAAAAAAGUGGCUUUUGCCUUUGGAAGCUGUUCUCACGUAAGAAUUUCUGUUUUCAUUAGCAUACUCUCAAAAAAUCCUAAGGUAAACUAGCCUAGAAAACAAAACAAGGGGGAAUAAAAGAUACUUUCUACAAAUGAAUAAUAUAAAAGGCUGCAGAACAUUAUUUUAAGGAUCAAGAUGCAGGUGGAAGCACAUGUGGAAAAUGAAAGAAUGGCAACUAAAGCAGAUUUAUGAAUUCAGCUAAAAAGGGUGGCUUCUUGGGUUUUUCUGAAAGAUAUGGGAUAUGGCAGAGGGAAUCUCUCAUUGAGGGGACCAUAUGGCUAGAACAUCACUGUUCUCAUGGAAAUUCCAAACACAAUUUCAGCUUCUUACCUCACCCAGUCCAUCCUUUUAUUGUUUGCCAAGAAACCAAAUGUUACCCAUCUUCCUUCUUUCAUUCUCUCAAGAAAAGGAAUAAAGCAGAGAUAUUAGCA